GGACCAGCCUGCUGUGUGACGACACGCUGUCCUCGAACCCAUCUGGCACCAGAGCCUGGCUCCCGACAUCACUGGAACAUUGCCAUUGAACCUACCUCCACAUGGCAGAAUAAGAACCCCUACCUAGGGCGGUGCCUGCUGAGGCAAGUGGAUCAUCUGGCUCUAAAAGAGACUCCACAGAGAACUGUACAUGUGCAGGAGCCUCCAACUGCUGCCCUGCAGCAGGGCAAAGGAGCCACAGCUGGGCAAAACUCAACUGAGGAAGUGGGCAUAUCUGCCUACUGCAUGCUCUUGCCCAGAGCAGGCACCCUCCUGCUAUACAGAAAGUCCUUCUGCCUAAGAACCAUGGCCUACUUACGGUGAACUAGACUCAAGUGUCAAAGAGGCGCUUCCAGAAGACAAUGCCCACCUGCGCUAAGCAUGGAGAGGACAAUAGGGAAUCACUGCUGUGCCCCUUAGAACAUCUGGAGUUCAUUGCCGUUGCUUUGUGGGUGAAGAUCGAAGGUGUAAGCAUACAGGGCACCAGGAGAGAAGCAGGUGUUACCGCAGCGAGAUGGCAGGGUGUGGUGAGCCCCUCUACCUGGCUGUGGAGACAUGUACUUAGAUCAAGUGAC
rnacentral:lncRNA from 1 species